UACGUAGGGGGCAAGCGUUGUCCGGAAUCAUUGGGCGUAAAGCGCGCGUAGGCGGCUAGAUCAGUCUGCUGUAAAAGUCAAAGGCUCAACCUUUGAAAGCCGGUGGAUACUGUCUAGCUAGAGUCCGGAAGAGGCGAGUGGAAUUCCUGGUGUAGCGGUGGAAUGCGCAGAUAUCAGGAGGAACACCGGUGGCGAAGGCGGGUCUCUGGGCCGUAACUGACGCUGAGGAGCGAAAGCAUGGGGAGCGAACAGG
rnacentral:rRNA from 1 species